GGGCCAAGGAAAAGAAAUAAUAUGGUAGCAAAGGAAAAGAAGACCUAAAAAUUAUGCUUAAUAGGAUAACACAGAGCC
rfam:Mustela putorius furo unplaced genomic scaffold scaffold00535, whole genome shotgun sequence.